rnacentral:rRNA from 1 species
GACGAACGCUGGCGGCGUGCUUAACACAUGCAAGUCGAACGAUGAAGCCGGAGCUUGCUCUGGUGAAUUAGUGGCGAACGGGUGAGUAACACGUGAGUAACCUGCCCUUGACUCUAGGAUAACUGCUAGAAAUGGUAGCUAAUACCGGAUACGACCCUCGGAGGCAUCUCCAGGGGGUGGAAAGAAUUUCGGUCAAGGAUGGACUCGCGGCCUAUCAGCUAGUUGGUGAGGUAAUGGCUCACCAAGGCGACGACGGGUAGCCGGCCUGAGAGGGUGACCGGCCACACUGGGACUGAGACACGGCCCAGACUCCUACGGGAGGCAGCAGUGGGGAAUAUUGCACAAUGGGAGCAAGCCUGAUGCAGCAACGCCGCGUGAGGGAUGACGGCCUUCGGGUUGUAAACCUCUUUUAGUAGGGAAGAAGCGAAAGUGACGGUACCUGCAGAAAAAGCACCGGCUAACUACGUGCCAGCCGCCGCCGUAA